rnacentral:rRNA from 1 species
UACGGGGGGGGCAAGCGUUGUUCGGAAUUACUGGGCGUAUAGGGCGCGUAGGCGGCCCGCUAAGUCAGACGUGAAAUCCCUCGGCUCAACCGGGGAACUGCGUCUGAUACUGGCAGGCUUGAAUCCGGGAGAGGGAUGUGGAAUUCCAGGUGUAGCGGUGUAAUGCGUAGAUAUCUGGAGGAACACCGGUGGCGAAGGCGGCAUCCUGGACCGGUAUUGACGCUGAGGCGCGAAAGCCAGGGGAGCAAACGGG